CUCUGUGAACACAGGUGAAGGGAACAUUAACCUGACAAUGCAGGAUAAGGUGGAAUGAUGGAUAGAACUCAACGUAUAAAAGAAAGGAAAAUCAGAAGAACAAGACGUGAAAGAUGUUGUUUAUGGGAAGCAAGAGCAAGGGUUUGCACCUUGAAACAGGUACCAAGAUAUCACUGCGAUGUCCAUGCGCCACCACCAACCAGUGUGAGAAUCCCUCCUCUCUCAGAUGGGCCAGCAGUGUUGCUAAAACGAAGAGUCUCCCAGUUGAACACUUGCUCUCCAACCUUUCUGUGGAUGGCAGGGAGGUGCCAAGACGAUGAGCUAUUUUGCUGGGUUAAGAAAAUGGAUCCUGAAAAGUUAUCCAAUG